CUCCUUUUUCUAUUUCUUUUUCCAUCAUUUUUCUCCCCUCUUCUUUAUCUUCUACUGUGUGUGUGUUUUUUGAAUCUAUUCCUUAUUGAUUUUGUUCCUAUUAUUAAUAUUAUUGUUGUUGUUGUUGUUGUUGUUAUCAUCCUCAUGAACCUGCUUCAUUGACAUUGCAUUUCAAUGAAGAAUAGCUUGCAGUAUCCAUCAUCCAAAGACAAAUCCUGACACUGGGUUUUAGAAGUGGUCAGACACAUUACACAACAGGUUGUAUAGAGAAUUUUGUUUGUCAGUUAUGGGGGGAUAUCACUUUUUUGCUUGCUCUCUCACUCACUCACACUUACACACACAUACACACACAAAUAAUAACAAUGUUCUUUUUUUGCCCCCUUUGCUGAUCUCCUGUUUCAAUCAAUCUUUGUGCUGAGUGUCACCACCAGCAGCAGCAACAGCAGCAUCACUUGCUGCCAGCCAGCCAGCUACAAAAGUGCUCCAGCCUUGUUGCAGAUUUCCUUUUUCCUAUUUUCUCUUUCUAACGGCAGAGACUGGCAGCAUUCAAAACAAACAUGCAAAAACUAAUAAAUAAUGAAGGUAAACAUUUGUAUAUAUAUAUAUAUAUAUAUACACUUAUAUAUUCAAUAGUGAACAUGCAUGGAAAAAAGGCGAGAACAAGGAGAAGGAGAAGAAGAAGAAGAAGACAAAGCAGAAGAAUGAGGGUUGUGCUAGGCAUGACAAAUGGCAUUAAAAAGGUGGCGGCGCAUUACCAAACAGACCGGAAGCAGAACUGUGAUUGUAAAAAGGUACAAAAAUGUGUAUAUAUAUAUAUAUAUAUAUACACGGAAAAGUUAUGGAAAAGUAACAAUAUAUAUAUAUAUAUAUAUAUAAGGUAGGAUGAAAUGGAUGUCUUUUGCCAGGUCUUUGUGUCCAAGCAGUGUUUCUUUUUCUUCUUCUUCUGCCAUUUUUUUUUUUUGACAGAGAGCCUGUCUCCCUGUAUGUGUUUGCUCCUGACUUCUAUGUGGCAUUUUCCCUUCCAGUUCAGCAUUCAAUUUUUCAACUUAUUCCAUCCAUUUCUGAGCUGGUUCUUCUUCUGCUUUUCCCAGACAAGCCUGCAGCAAAUCACAACAGACACAUAGCAGUGGCAUACUUGUGCAUUAACUUCAUCCCCCCCCCCUCUAUUGCAAUACAACUGGGCAUGAAGCCUCUCCAUCCCCCCUCCUCUUCCCCUUUUUCCCCUUUUAAAUAAAUAAAAUAAAAAAUAAAUAUGUGCAUACAAUUUUCUAGCAUUGCUAUAAAAUAUAAUCACCUCAUCAUCAUACAGCUAAGCUGCUAUCAAACUCUUCAGUUUUGCAGGUUUGGGAACUGCAGCAACUGGCUGCAGAUACACAGUAGAACAACUCAUCAUCAAUGAAGGCUGUACUAACCCAAAUGCGUAGAAAACAUAUACAUAUAUAGAUAUAGAUACACUUCACAAAAGUUGAAUUAUUAUCUCCUUCCUCUGUUUUUCUGAAGGAAGUUUGAAUUGUGAUUAGAAUGUUCCCUGUGUGUGUGAGAGAGAGAAUGGGUUGAAAGUGAAGAAUCUGAUCUCAAGAACAGUGGCAUGCAGACAGCCACCAACCGCAGAGGACACAGUGUGUUAUUGUUUCAACCAUAACAAACAACAAACAAACAACCACUGCUGCUGCAGUUAGGUAGGUUUCCUUGGAGCCAGCUGGAACCAGCACCACCCAAACAAACACAGGAGCACAAAAGAAUAGAAGAAUAGAAGGAGUUGCUUCCUAUGGCUUUUUCCAUCUUAGAUUGAUCAAUAACAAUAACAAUUCUACACACAAUAACAACAACUACUCAAUAACAAACUCUCGUAUUCUUUGUCAAUGUUCAAAAAGAUUGUUUGAAUACACAGAAACCCUAACAGAAGUAAACAAGCUUGUGUCUGCAAAUGCAUGUAAUGAUGUGUGUGUGUACCCAAAAUCCCUCUUGCUAAUUAAAGAUGGAGACAGGUUUCUGGUGUGCUCAAUUUGUGGGUUUGAAUUGAAAGUUUGUUGUGCAAGGUGGAGUGUGUUUUGGUGUGAUUGAUGGCCCCAGAUAGGCUUCCAAGGUGGUCAUUUUAGUAUGUGAAGGUUUGAUGUAUUCCAAUACAAACAAGUUGGGGUGUUCCGUUGGCUUGGUUCCGCACAAACCCUAAUUUCCUUCUACUUCUUCUUCUUCUUCUUCUUCUGCUUCUAUUGAUUUUUUUGUAUGUCUUUUUGUGUCUUUCUAUGAUAUUAUGUGAGCUUUGUUACAAUGAAUAUAUGUCAUGUUGUGGGUGCCACAAGUUCUUAUUUGGGUACAUGCCUGCUGAUCAGGCAUAAGAAAAAGCAAAAGCUAAAUGCAAAAAGAGCAUGCAAGCCCAGGCUUUGAUUUUAAUUUUUCUAGGCCUUCAUCAGUCAGGGGAACAUGAAGAGAAUGUGUGGUCCUCUCCCAUGAAAGCACAUUUUGCACAUGAAUUUGUGCAUGUGCAAAACAUGGCCAUGUUCUCACCCAUUAUUUUUCUGUACCAAGGGUUUGUUUCCAACUCUAUAAAUAUUAUUUGUUUGUAUCACAUGCACAAGAAGAAAUAGUUGUUGUGCUCAUAGCCUCCAACAAACUAAGGACAUUACCCAGAUAUUGAACCAUGACAUUGUAUGUAAGCAUCUCCACACUUGAAAAAAAACAACAAUGAUAAUGACAACAAACAAUGUAAUGUAGAAGAAAAAAGAAAAAGAAGAAGAAAACAAACAUGUCACAACAUUCACUCGUGUAAUUUCAUUAACCGUGCAUCCAUCCCCUAAUCUUUUUCUACCUCUCUUUUUCCCCCCAUUUUUACAUAUUUUCUACAUGUUUUCAUACUCAAAACCAAUCCUCUGUGCAACCAUUAUCUUCUGACAAACACAAUUACACUUUUUUCAACUUCUAAAAACACAAUUCAUAAACCCUAAACCUUUGUCAUGGUUGAAUUCAUUCACAAUCCAUAAUAUUCAUGGUUCCAAUGUGUAUGAACAUUGGGGACGAACAUUUGAAUUAGGGUUUUUUUGGGGGGGUGGAGGGGGGAGAAAUAAUGCAACGAAACAUGGUUGUCCAGCUGGUGAGCAAUGUUUGUCCGCAUGUCUGUGACUUUGACUCUGUCUGUCUAUUUGUCCCUCUGUCUCUCUGUCCCUCUGUGUCCCUCUGUCUGUUGGUUUGUUUGUUUGUUUAUGUUGGCGAAAGCAGGAUCCAGUCGAGGAGCCCUAAACCAGGGCUCCCCAUGCAACCAACCCCCUCCCUUCUGCUUCUCAGGCGGGACUGACUGGGGAUGGGUGGG
rnacentral:lncRNA from 1 species